UACGUAGGGACCAAGCGUUGUUCGGAUUUACUGGGCGUAAAGGGCGCGUAGGCGGCAAUUCAAGUCAUCUGUGAAAUCUCCGGGCUUAACCCGGAACGGUCAGAUGAUACUGCUUUGCUAGAGUGCGGAAGGGGCAAUCGGAAUUCUUGGUGUAGCGGUGAAAUGCGUAGAUAUCGGGAGGAACACCUGUGGCGAAAGCGGCGCACUGGACCACAACUGACGCUGAGGCGCGAAAGCUAGGGGAGCAAACAGG
rnacentral:rRNA from 1 species